UACGUAGGGUGCGAGCGUUAUCCGGAAUCAUUGGGCGUAAAGAGCUCGUAGGCGGUUCAACAAGUCGGCUGUGAAAUUCCGGGGCUCAACCCCGGAACUGCAGUCGAAACUGUUGUGACUCGAGUCCGGUAGAGGAGAAUGGAAUUCCCGGUGUAGCGGUGGAAUGCGCAGAUAUCGGGAGGAACACCAGUAGCGAAGGCGGUUCUCUGGGCCGGCACUGACGCUGAGGAGCGAAAGCGUGGGGAGCAAACAGG
rnacentral:rRNA from 1 species